rnacentral:rRNA from 1 species
AGAGUUUGAUCAUGGCUCAGAUUGAACGCUGGCGGAAUGCUUUACACAUGCAAGUCGAACGGCAGCACGGGAGCUUGCUCCUGGUGGCGAGUGGCGAACGGGUGAGUAACACAUCGGAACAUGCCUAGUCGUGGGGGAUACCGUAGCGAAAGUUACGUUAAUACCGCAUACGUCCUGAGGGAGAAAGCAGGGGAUCGCAAGACCUUGCGCGAUUAGAGUGGCCGAUGCCUGAUUAGCUAGUUGGUGGGGUAAAGGCCUACCAAGGCGACGAUCAGUAGCGGGUCUGAGAGGAUGAUCCGCCACACUGGAACUGAGACACGGUCCAGACUCCUACGGGAGGCAGCAGUGGGGAAUUUUGGACAAUGGGGGCAACCCUGAUCCAGCCAUUCCGCGUGAGUGAAGAAGGCCUUCGGGUUGUAAAGCUCUUUCAGCGGGAACGAAACGGUACGCACUAACAUUGUGUGCUAAUGACGGUACCCGCAGAAGAAGCACCGGCUAACUACGUGCCAGCAGCCGCGGUAAUACGUAGGGUGCGAGCGUUAAUCGGAAUUACUGGGCGUAAAGCGUGCGCAGGCGGAUUGUUAAGCAAGAUGUGAAAUCCCCGGGCUUAACCUGGGAAUGGCAUUUUGAACUGGCAAUCUAGAGUGUGUCAGAGGGGGGUAGAAUUCCACGUGUAGCAGUGAAAUGCGUAGAGAUGUGGAGGAAUACCGAUGGCGAAGGCAGCCCCCUGGGAUAACACUGACGCUCAUGUACGAAAGCGUGGGUAGCAAACAGGAUUAGAUACCCUGGUAGUCCACGCCCUAAACGAUGUCAACUGGUUGUUGGGAGAGUGAAAUCUCUUAGUAACGAAGCUAACGCGUGAAGUUGACCGCCUGGGGAGUACGGUCGCAAGAUUAAAACUCAAAGGAAUUGACGGGGACCCGCACAAGCGGUGGAUGAUGUGGAUUAAUUCGAUGCAACGCGAAAAACCUUACCUACCCUUGACAUGUCCAGAAUCCUGCAGAGAUGCGGGAGUGCCCGAAAGGGAAUUGGAACACAGGUGCUGCAUGGCUGUCGUCAGCUCGUG